CUCAAACACAAACCAAACAUACCCUAUGUAUCUGAUUAUUAUUUAUGUUAUUAUAAGCCGCUAAAAACUUAGAAGAUUAAUUUGACAGAAAAAGAACUGUUUUCUUCCUUGCUUUGGUUCCCUCUUUAUGGUUAAUGGCUCAAUGCAAGAGUUGGUUUUUGGCAGCGUUUGAUACUCUGCAUUUAACUGUUAAAAAGUUUACCCUGGUGAAAUUCCCUUGACUUUGGGAAAAGUUUUCUUAUUUCUCAUUAUGCAGCUGGACAGGAAAGAUUCAGAACACUAACUAGUUCAUAUUAUAGAGGAGCUCAAGGAAUAAUAAUGGUUUAUGAUGUAACCCGACGAGAUACAUUUACGGAUCUAUCUGAUGUGUGGGCUAAAGAAAUUGAUCUGUAUUCAACAAAUCAAGAUUGCAUCAAGAUGCUUGUUGGCAACAAGGUUGAUAAGGAAAAUGAAAGGGUUGUCACC